CGCUCAUGUUUCACCUCAGAUUGUAUAAAUCUUUCGCCUUUCACUAAAGAUUUCUGUGGGGCGGAGCACAAUGAGUAAUUUCUAAUUUGUUGUUGUCGUGCAUUAAUGCGGGGCA
ensembl:snRNA U5 U5 spliceosomal RNA